AAGACAGAACUUCCAUGGAUCGUUUCAUUAGUGUCUGACUAGGAAUUGUAACUGGAAAGUGUAACGUGCCUCCAGUUACAGUGAUAAGAUUUUUUUUAACUUGAACUAAAAUUUGGAUAAUGAUUUAUUCUUGAUCUUUAAGUCUUGAUAAAUGUUCUGUGCAUACUAUGAAGCUCAGAAAGAAAAGUACACGGUCAGAGUGAU